rnacentral:lncRNA from 1 species
UGUGGAUUCGAUCCUUCACCACUAUCUGCAGUUGUAAAUUAUUGAUAACCAAGAAGGUUAUUUUUUACCGGCUUCGACAACCGCGAGUCAUUGGGUAACAUUUUGAACUCCAAUUCAUGUUUCUCUAUGGCUAGCUGUAAUUUGGUACUGAAUUCAGGCAAAACAAACUCUACCUUAUCCGGAGGUUUGGGAAGGCAUUGAUCUGCAUGCUCCUUUGGUUUAGGUGCUUGGAACACCAUUUGUUUCUUGUGAGCAUGGGCUAUUUGCAUUGGAAGGCUGAAAGGAGUUUCAGAUUGCUCCUUCUGCGCAAGAUCUGACUGAAAGGGGAGCUGAAGAGUGGUCAGAUUAGGCGGCCGAAAGAUGGCUGAGUUUGGCUGCCGAAGGAUGGUUUGAGUUUGCGAUGGGAGUUGAGGUGCAGGGUCCGGCGGCCGAAAGAUGGUGGAGUUCGGCGGCCGAAAAGUCAUGCUUCAGUUUGCACAAGUCCUUCCUGAAGUGGUGCGACAGAGCUCUCUUCAGUCUGUGCUUGGCUGCAGUUCACCUGAUGGAUGCAACAGUCAGUUUCUUUCAAUUCUGGCUCUUUCUGAGUCUCUUCCCUGCAAAGAUCAUCAUCUAGUAUAUCAUCUUGAUUUACAUAAAAAAACAUUUUCACUCAAACAAUCAAUGAUAUCUAAAUUGUCAAUAGGUUCUGUUUGAUCAGUUUGUUUGGACAAACAGUUUUCUGGUUGUGUUUCUUCAGCAGCUUGUUCUUGUACUUGUGGACUUUCAUCAUCUUCCUCAUCACCUUGAAAUUCUUCCUCAUAUCUCAUUAGCUGUCCCACCUGUUGUUGGAGAGUCUGCACAGAGGUC